AGCGAACGCUGGCGGCAGGCCUAACACAUGCAAGUCGAACGAAGUCUUCGGACUUAGUGGCGGACGGGUGAGUAACACGUGGGAACGUGCCUUUAGGUUCGGAAUAACUCAGGGAAACUUGUGCUAAUACCGAAUGUGCCCUUCGGGGGAAAGAUUUAUCGCCUUUAGAGCGGCCCGCGUUUGAUUAGGUAGUUGGUGAGGUAAAGGCCUACCAAGGCUACGAUCAGGAGCUGGUCUGAGAGGAUGACCAGCCACAUUGGUACUGAGACACGGCCCAAACACCUACGGGAGGCAGCAGUGGGGAAUCUUGCGCAAUGGGCGAAAGCCUGCCGCAGCCAUGCCGCGUCGAUGAUGAAGGUCUUAGGAUUGUAAAAUCCUUUCUCCGUUGAAGAUAAUGACGGUAGCCGGGGAAGAAGCCCCGACUCACUUCGUGCCACCCGCCGCCGUAACAC
rnacentral:rRNA from 1 species